AGAGUUUGAUCCUGGCUCAGAUUGAACGCUGGCGGCGUGCCUAACACAUGCAAGUCGAGCGGUAACAGGUGUAGCAAUACAUGCUGACGAGCGGCGAACGGGUGAGUAAUGCUUCGGAAUCUACCCUCUAGUGGGGAAUAACCAGCCGAAAGGUUGGCUAAUACCGCAUACGUCCUACGGGAGAAAGCAGGGGAUCGUAAGACCUUGCGCUGAUGGAUGAGCCGAAGUCGGAUUAGCUAGUUGGUGAGGUAACGGCUCACCAAGGCGACGAUCCGUAGCUGGUCUGAGAGGACGACCAGCCACACUGGGACUGAGACACGGCCCAGACUCCUACGGGAGGCAGCAGUGGGGAAUUUUGGACAAUGGGGGCAACCCUGAUCCAGCCAUGCCGCGUGUGUGAAGAAGGCCUUCGGGUUGUAAAGCACUUUCGGACGGAACGAAAUCGCGCGAGUUAACAGUCCGCGUGGAUGACGGUACCGUAAGAAGAAGCACCGGCUAACUACGUGCCAGCAGCCGCGGUAAUACGUAGGGUGCGAGCGUUAAUCGGAAUUACUGGGCGUAAAGUGUGCGCAGGCGGCUUCGCAAGUCGAGUGUGAAAUCCCCGAGCUUAACUUGGGAAUUGCGCUCGAAACUACGGAGCUGGAGUGUGGCAGAGGAAGGUGGAAUUCCACGUGUAGCGGUGAAAUGCGUAGAGAUGUGGAGGAACACCGAUGGCGAAGGCAGCCUUCUGGGCCAACACUGACGCUCAUGCACGAAAGCGUGGGGAGCAAACAGGAUUAGAUACCCCCGUAGUCC
rnacentral:rRNA from 1 species